AUGAGUCCUGUUGCUCAUAUUGGUAAUGCGCAGUUACAUCAUGUGUCUGAUCUUAUCGAUUCUGAAACCUGGCUCUGGAAAGACCAGGUGAUCAGAGACAACUUCAUACCACCCGAUGCAGACGCCAUCCUGAAUAUCCCAAUAAGGACUGGUGGUGGUGAUGAUAUCCUGGCAUGGGCUUUUGAAAAGUCAGGUUCAUAUACUGUCAAAUCAGCUUACCAUGCUCUCAUGACUCAGAACGAGCAACUGGCUCUAGAGGAAGGGACGGUAGUCGAAGUAUCAACGACAGAAAAACAGCUAUGGACCACAUUAUGGAAAUUGAAGGUUCUGCCAAAAGUGAGAGUGUUUUGGUGGAGGGUUUUACGAGGUAUCUUGCCUGUAGAAUCAACACUAAAGUAUCGACAUAUUGCAACAGUGAGCAAGUGCAAAAUAUGUCAGCAUGAAGAUGAGGACAUGAUGCAUGCUUUGUUGAACUUCUCCCAUGCGAGAGGGUUUUGGACUCAAGCCCCGGCCUGGCUUGGGGUAAAAUGA
rnacentral:rRNA from 1 species